rnacentral:tRNA from 2 species
GCACUGAUAGUUCAGUGGUAGAAUUCUUGCCUUCCAUUUCUCAAGGGGGCACACCGCGUCCAGUACGCCUUAGCAAGAGGCAGGGGUUCGAUUCCCCUUCAGUGCA